rfam:Dialister succinatiphilus YIT 11850 genomic scaffold supercont1.1, whole genome shotgun sequence.
GGGGGUGUAGCUCAGCUGGGAGAGCAUCUGCCUUGCAAGCAGAGGGUCAGGAGUUCGAUUCUCCUCAUCUCCA